CACCGGGCGACCCAAUAACUUUAUUUCAAUUUGCGGUUCAGUUACGCCAGUCCGUAGUUUCAGCAGCCGGUUACUCUCCUUGAGUUAUCUCUCUGCGCGCUCUCUCUAUCGAAUCUCUAAGAUGGGUCUUCAUACUUCCAACCGGGUUAUCUCUCCAUCAUCUUCUUCCUCAUCUUCAUCUCAUCCGCCCAUUCCUUUUAUCUAUCCGGUGUUGCUCCCCGUGAUUUCUCAAGGGUAUUCAUCUCUCUCUCUCGAUUUCACCGUAUACAUAUAGUAGGUAUGAUGAGACCAUUAUGAUUUACUGCUGUAUGGUUCUACUUGGAUCUGGGUUUUUAGUUUGCAGAUCACUCUUAUAUACUGUUGUACCCAUAUGCUACAAUGUACUGUUCAAUUUGCUGUUCAGUUAUGCCAGUCCGUAGUUUCAGCAGCCGGUUACUCGAGCGAUUUCGAAAUUCCACACACCUCUGACGAGGCUAUCUUCUGAGAACGAGACGCUCUUCUCAUUCCGAUCCACAUUCAGAGUAGUGGCCAUGGAUAAUGGUCGGUUUGCAUAUUCUUCUCAUUGUGUUACAAAAUGUCCGGGCAGUUAUUUUUUAACUUAGUUUGCAGGCAGCAGGUAUCACCACGAUGGAAGCAUAACUGAUUCAAAACUGCUGUCCGUCUUCACCGCCUGCUGAUUUUGAGUCUAUCAUUGUUUUGUGUAUGUUUUCUUCAGUGGAGCAGAAAGGUCGUAAGCGUGUUCCUUUGGGCACUCUGUCUCCUUCUUCAGUACGUAAUGGACACGUCACACGCAGGAUAUGUCUUGCGCUUCUAACAAGUAUGAGUAUGGGAUUGACGUUACUCAAUUGACUGAGAACAGUUAUCCAUAUACUGGACAGUUUACCAGUGGCAGUAUAACACCGGUUCCCACUACGUCUUCCAAGCGUGACCACCCUAUGUUCCAUAUAUCCAAGUAUCAUUCCAACUACAAGCUCUGUAAUUGGUCGUGGUGUUGCACUUGAUUCGAAGCCACCAGGACAACGGAGACGUUGUUCACAUAAUGAUCAUACUGAUCCUAUUGACGUUUUGUUUCCCCAACCACUGCAGUAUACUCUUUGUGAUCCAACUAAUUUGCAUUUUUCUAUUCAUGUGACAUACUUCUUUUGAGGCUGAUUUAGAAAUUAAAAAACAAUAUCACCACCGGAUCGGAAUCAUCCUGAAAAUUGUGACUGAUUCCUGCACUUCAUCCACUAGCAUCUAACAGGACAGUGCCAGUUUCGCGUUCUGAAACUCCAACUCAUGCUGAUAAGAUUUGCCAACAACUUUCCCACUCCGUGCAAUGUUCAGGUUCUCAUUCAUCUGCUAAUGAGGCUUCUUUGAUUUGCGUGAAAAUGCUCAUCCGAAUACAGCAACAUAAGGGUUCACGUUUAGUAACUCCAACUAUUGCUGGCAAGACUUACCCUGUACCCUACCAACACUCCGAAGCUGCAGGUUCUGGGAUUACGGCUGCUACACCGAACGAAUUAAUCAGAUUGGUGGGUUCAAGCAAACGGCUCAAGCACAUGGUUUUUAUGUCAAUUAGAAGCUUUUGAAAUGUAAGUUGCAUAAUAUAUAACAAAAGAGAGUAACUCCCAAGUAGAACAGCAGCACAUUGACCAGCUAGAAGAAAGGAAGUGUCGAUUGAUACCAAAAGCCACCAGUGCCAGCUCUUAAAUCUGUUUAGACACAAUUGAAUUAAUGUAAUUCCAUGGUGCAUCAAUUUUCGAGCUCCACUACCUUCCAUUUAAAGAAGUUGGGGGAAAAGUGAUGGGAAGAAUUAUAUAGAGAUAGCAACAGACUAAAACAAUCCUCUACAAUUCUUCAAGAAAACCAUGUCACAAUCUAUUGGUUUAAUGUGAUUGGAGUUAUUGAGAACUACCACCAUGUUCAGGAGAUCGAUACAGUUAUGGACCGAGAAAUAUCGUUAAGUUCAGGAUAACAGAUGAAAGGAAAGUGUGUUUCGAGUCUACUAACCACUGUCUACUUGAUGAACAAUUCUUUAUGGGUUAUUUCGUCUCAUGUGUCUAUGACUGUCCAGGUACUCAAGCACUGUGACUAUAUGGGGUGAUCAGGCAUUGACUGCACAAGAGGAAAAGGAUAAGAUUUGCCUUUGAGACCUCUGCCGUCAAAGUCUCACAAGGCGGCGACAACCCGGGAACUGCUAGGUCUUCUUCAAAGAGAGUUAAAUUGGAAAAAUAGACGUAACUUUCUCCUUGCAAAAGGUCUGCUGGAAAUGAACACUCCUUGCUCCAACUGGAUGGGGAGGUCAUCCUCGCAACCUCAGUGGCUAAUUUUUCAAUCUUAUUCGAAAUUUGAAUCUAUUCGCAAUGGAUGUUAGUUAACUAAAUUAUUAGUUAUGUUUUUACAGAACUUAUUGAAUGAUGAUUCGGAUUAUUUAUUAUUAUAUUCUUGAUGAA